rnacentral:lncRNA from 10 species
UCCCUCUCUUCUCCAGAAACUUCUCCUGGAAAGGCCCUUUCUGAGCACUCACCCCGUCAUUCUUGAUGGGCCUGUUUCACAUCCUCUUCCCAGCUGUUGUCAUGUCUUUUCCUCCUCCCGUUUCAUGCUCACAUUGCUCCUGUGACCUGGUGACUCCCUUUAACACCAGGGGUGACAAAGAGCAUCCUAAAUUCAUGGAAUGUCUUUUAUCUACGACUUGGGAAGCUGAACUGUCUUGAUGAAGCAUGACAUCCUAGGCAGAAUCUCAGGGUAGCAUGAACGGCUGUGCUUCUUUAUUUUUUCUUCUAAAGGGUUAAACAUUUUCCAAGUUGGCUGCCAUCAGCAUGGGCUGGUUUAUGCUGUGACUUUCUUUUUCUAGGAAGAUUAAUGCCAGAGCCAUUUAUCUGUGACGAUACCUUUGAAGAGAAACAAAUGAAAAAGUGGAAUUUCAGUCCAAUCUAGUCUAACGAAUUCAAUCUGUUGCAGAAAUAACAUGGGGAAGCAAGGGAAUGAACACUUGCUGGGCAGACGCAUCAAUCAUCUGAAUCGUGCCACUGAGCCGGACUAUAACUAUAGCAAGAACGAAUCUAACUAUAGUCUUAUUAGGUGAAAGACUGGAUUCUAUUUAUCUUUUUAUGUAGAGCCAACUCAAAAGCUUGCAAGACUCAAGCACCUUUUCUGUUCUCUCUCGGGCUUUGAAAAACUGUUCCCAUUAUCAAUUCAGUAUACCCUUAAGGCAAAUUUGUCCAACCCGUGACCGUUUGGCCCAGGAUGGCUUUGAAUGCAGCCCAACACAAACUCGUAAUUUUUCUUAAAGCAUUACGAGAGUUUUUUGCGACAUUUUUAAGCUCAUCAGCUAUCAUUAGUGUUAGUGUAUUUUACGUGCGGCCCAAGACAAUUCUUCUUCUUCCAGUGUGGCCAAAGGAAGCCAAAAGAUUGGAUACCCCUGCUUUAAGCACCCAGUCAGCAAAUUUGAAAAUGUACCAAAGACAAAAGAAAAGGAACCACUCCUGCUCUCCAAAAUCCUGUGAAGUCUUGUGAAGUACUAACUGCACUGUGGGCAAGGUGGCCUCAAAGAGCGAGGACUGGUUAGGAAACUGUUCUCUCCUUAAGGGGAUGGGAAAAAUGGCUACUUGCCAUUGGAAAGAGGGUGUGUGUGUGUGUGAGAGAGAGAGAGAGAGAGAACGUGUGUGUGCAUAUGCGCCUGUAUGUGUGCAUGAGUGUGUGUGUGUGCGCGCGUGUGUGUGCACAUAUAUGUAUGAUGACAGCAGUUACCCUCUGGACAACUGGAAGAAAAAGGUAGCAAAGUCACUGAGCUAUAACCCACGUGCAGGUGGGGCCUCAGAGGGGACUGACUUGGCGUGCCUGUGCCCACCCUGAAGGACUCCAGCUGUCAAAAGCCAUCUUGCUGUAUUUGCAGGUCAAGUGUACUGUGCCAGAGAGAGUAAAUCAGACUUGGGGACACAUACGCUGGAUUUGAGAGUGGAGGGUUAAAGAAAGGAGGCCAUCUUGGAGAGCAACCGCGGCCUGGGAACAGGGUGAGAGCUGAGAGCAUGCAUCACAUUCCCAGUACCAGUUGUUGGAAGCCAUGAGCCAUCAGGAGACUUAGAACCAUCUGACCUUCAGGAUUGAUCACUAACCUGCGGAAGGAAGGGUGAUGUUCAAUGUUUGAAUUUUCCACCUUAUUGAAAUUAGACUUGUCUGCAACAUUGCUGAACUAAGAAUUAGUUAAUUCAUAUGAAACACCUCUCAUGAUGAUUAACAUAGGUGGUAGCCACUGCAGUUGAAGAUUAUCUGGAAGUUUACAUAUAAGAAGGAUCCAAGCAAAAAUUGUUCUAAAAUAUUUUUCAAUGUGGUCAUCCUUUUCCAUAGCUCCUGCUUAUUGACUGUGUGGCCUACAGGCUGCCCGUGUCCAUCUGGGGGUUGGGGGGACCCUGAUCUAAUCAACACGGACAGGACAGCCUGGGUCAAACUGGCUCUCUCUGAGGUGAUUGAAGGCUGCUGGACUCACACGUUCCGUGGCGCGAAGUCCAAGUGCACACGAGGGCAUAUGGGGCGCUAUGGACUGAAUGUUUGGGUCCCCCCCCAAAAUUCAUAUGUUGAAACGCUGCCCUCCAAUGGGAUGGUAUUGGGAGGUGGGCCUUGGGAGCUGAUUGGGGUGAGAUGAGGUCAUGAGGAAGACACCCCAUGAUGGGAUUAGUGUCCUUAUAAAAAGAGAAGGCACCUGGAGCUCUGUCUCAGCCCUAUGAGGGUGCAGCUAGAAAGCGGCCACCCACAGCCCAGGAAACGGGCUCUCCCCAGGCGUGGAAUCUGCUGGCACCUUGAUCCUGGACAUUGACCUCUGGAACUAAAGAAUACAUGUUUGUUGUUUAAGCCUCUAGUCUACAGUAAUUUGUUAUAGCAGCUGGAGCCUAUUAAGAUGUGGGAGGAGAGCCCUGAAGGAGUGGGACCUUAAGAAAGGGACAUGGUCAGCGUGGCUAGAGAGAGAGGCAGGAAACAGGUGAGAGAGGCCAGGGAGACUGGGGAAUUCUGAUUGCAGAAUACAUGAUUCUGCAAGACUGGCUCACUGGAAGAACUUCCACUUUAGCCCUAGAGGGAGAUGAGCUGUGAGUGGUUUGAGCAGGGGAACAUGAGUGACUGCAUUUUUAGGAGCUCAUGGUUGUUGCUUUCUUGAGGACAGCCUCCAGGGGGAAGGUUGGGACAGAAAGAAGCAGGCACAAGGCAGUUAUGAUAAACCAGGGCAAGGCACUGAGGGAAAAGGUGGGGCUCGGGAGGUGGGGAGAAGGUGCUCCUUUGAGACAGAGCUGGGAGAAUUUGCUGAGGAUUGAUGUGGAGAGGACCCCAGGCCCAAGGAUAUUGCUAUCAUCCACCAGGAUGGAGACGACAAGAGACAGGUUUAAGCCCACGUAGAACUGGAAGAAACCUUCUUUCCUUUUUUCCUUCCUCCUUUUCUCCCUCCUUCCCUCCUUCCCUCCCUCCUUCCCUUCCUUCCCUAUUUCCCCCCCUCCCUUCCUUCCUAUCUUUCUUUUUUCCGGGAUGAGAAAAGCGCCUGCUUGUUUGUGUCCUGACGGGGUGAUCCAGGAGAGGGGAAAUCCCGUGAUGCCCGAGAGGAAGAGGAGAGAAUUGCUGGAGGCCUGUCCUUGAGAUGGCAGGAAGGGAUGGGUUUAGUGCCCCAGAGGAUUUGGCCUUGGUUGGUUCAUGAACAGUUGGCACAAACAAUUCCUCUGCAGUAACAGGAGGGAAGGCCAAGUGUGGGUCUAGACACGGGGAGGUGGGUAGACGCAGACAUCCUUUGUUAAUUGGUUUUUCUCAGUGAAAAAGAAGGUUAGGUCAUCAGAUGAGAGUGAGGCUGGGAGAAGGGUUGAAAGUUUGGGGAGAGGGGAAUAGGAGUGACAUAGUCUCCUAGGAUAGGGGGACACUGAAGUGACCAGGUGAACACAAGAUUUCCAGGCAGCUUGGAGGGUCCUCCUGAGGUCAGUGGUCCUAAAUUCAAGUGCGGCCAGUAGACCAGGUAGGAGUUUUUCUCCAGUAUAAUCAGGUGCAAGGGUGCAGUGAGGGGCUGGUAGAGUUGGGUUUAAUUGGGUUUGGGGGCUUUCCAGGUUAACGUGACUGUGGGAGAAUGGACAAAAGUGCUGAAUGCAUAUGGAGGGGAAGGAUUAAAAUGGUGGGCUCUGGAAUCCAAGCUGGUGUGGAGGGAAUCAAGGAUGAAGAGGAAAGGAGGGACCAUUGCAAAUCUAGCAUCAGGGAGGUGUAGGUCCCAGGGAGAUCAAAUUAUUGUUGGGGUGGAGGUGCAUGGCCAGAAAACUGGAGGUGGGUUCAGGGAGUGGGAUGCUUGACAGAGAUUAUGAAGGGUCACAGUUAUGAUCAUGACACUGUCUAUGAUGUGAUGGAAAGUGGCUCCUGGUAUCCUGUGGGCAGCAGUAACCUGGAAGAGAGGAGGAAGCCACUGAAGGGCCAGGUAUUGGAGGGACCAUCAAUGUGGAUAUGCACACCGAUGCAUUAUAGCAGAAGCAGUGCUGGGGAGACAGACAGGGACCAGGUGCUAAGGUCUUUAGGGAAUGAGGCCGGUGGCCUCAGAGGAGACCUCUAAGGCUCAAGGUUGGUGCCACAGUCUACAGCAUAGGCCACACAGCUUUUUCUUUAGGCAGGGAUUAUGGGGGACAUGAUGAGGGCAGGAGAAAAAGUAUAAACAUUUGAAAAUGAUGGCAAGGAACAAACAGGACUAUCUCCUACUUCUAAGCCCAGGGAUAGAAUGGGUGUGAGCAAAAGACACCGACCCCUCAGCAGACAGAAGCACAAGUGGCCUCUCAGGGCAGCACCAGAUCCAUUCAGGCAAGCGACUGAAGGCAUUGCUCACAGCAGAUAUUUGUGAGCUGCAGAAAAUGACAAAUACAUAGUUUAUUAAUAUUUUCAACUGGAUUCCUAUGACAUUUAUUUUAAAUAACAUGUUUGCUAAGACAUAUGAACUUUUAAGACUCAUUUAUUUCUUACCUGUCCAUCAUUGUUCUUUCAGAAUUCAGACAUUUCAACUCUGGAACUGUUAUUAUCUGGCAAAUUGCAAUGCAUUAUAAUUGUUAUGCUCUUAUGCAGACCAGGCAGCUUUGCUCAAACAAUAGCUGGAUAGUGACAUUCCACGUUUCUAUUUAGUUUGUUUCAGCAGUUGUAAAACACAGGCAGCACUGCUGCCCCCAGGUGGUGUGCAGGAAAACUGCGUCUUCAUCUUCUAAGAAACACCUACCUGAGCGCCUUGUUGGUAUAGGCUGUCUGGCCUCAUCUUUUGAACUUGAUACAACUCAGUGGAAUGACUGUAAAGGCUACUAAAUGUAGUGUUUUACUGUAGCUGAUACACACAGGUAAUUAUUUAUUAAUUGACAACUCUAAGAAAAUGAAUACUCCUCUUCACACCCAGUGCCCCAAUACACAACCAUUGAUGUGUGUAUGAAGAUAAACAUGCAUACAUUUCCAAUUCCUAUGGUGUUUGAAGAAGAGAUGGAUUAGUGUGAAUAUUUAAGAAUUUUCAAUCUUCAGAACUUAAAAUGAGCAUGCAAAUAACCGUUAAGCAUGUGAAAUUAAAUAAAAACUUAAAAGAAUUCAAAUUUAAGCUGUUGGAACUUUAAAUUAUCCCGAGUCUUGAAAGGAAUGACUAUGCAGCCUGCAUCAAGCAUCAUGCAGCUGCAACUUCUGCCUUUCAUGUCACCAUACAUAAUUAAGACCAAAUGGUGCCAGAGAUAAGCCCCCCUCAGAUCACUACCCCUUCUCAUGGAGUAAUAAUUUUUUUUUUUUUUGAGACGGAGUCUCCUCGCUCUGUCACCAGACUGGAGUGCAGUGGUGUGAUCUCAGCUCACUGCAACCUCCACCUUCUGGGUUCAAGUGAUUCUCCUGCCUCGGCCUCCUGAGUAGCUGGGACUACAGGCACGCGCCAUCACGCCCAGCUAAUUUUUGUAUUUUUAGCAGAGAUGGGGUUUCACCAUUUUGGCCAGGAUGGUCUCGAUCUCUUGACCUCGUCAUUUGCCUGCCUUGACCUCCCAAAGUGCUGGGAUUACAGGCAUGAGGCACUGUGCCUGGCCGAGUAAUUUUUUUUUUUUUUUAGAAUGUAACAAUCUGUAAUCAAUCAGAUUGCUGUAGUGUAUGGAAAAUGUUGCAAUCCUGCUAAAAUUUCCAUAUAGAUGAACCCUUAACCUCUCCACUUUGGAACACUGACUCCAUUGGUUCAGUGUUUCGGGGUGGCCAUCCUUGAGCUUUGUACUCAAAUAAACUCUAUACUUAAUCAU